GCUUUCUGUGGAGAGAUGAAUUCUAUGAAGGGGAUUGAGCAAGAGUCAGAUUCCCCACCCCUCCCUCUUCAGCUGGGAGCCGCUCGGACCAGUUGGCUCUGUCCACAGCUUCAAAGUCAGAAAAACAUUGACGCAAUAGAAGAAUAGCAGAACAGCAACAGAGCUGGAAGGAAGACUUCUAGUCCAGCCUCCUGCUCAAGCAGGAAACUCUAGACCACUCUAGGCACCCAUAACCUCUGGAGACAAGAAGAACAAAUAAACGGCACAUCUGAGUCUGGAGAAACUUAAGAAGACUAGCAGGCACUCCAAUAGUCUUGUUCUAUUCUAUCCAUAGAGCUGGUAGAUUAAUGAAUUGCUUUGUCACCUUAAAGGCUGAUUCCUUGACCAUGCGCACCAGGAUGGAGAUCAGUUGUUUGCAGUCUGCACACAUGUCCUCCUGGAAGAAAAAAAUGAUUCACCCUCUGAGAACCUCUUCCCCAAAGCCUUUGCUCACCCAUCCCAAAGUAUUUCCUCUUCCCUGCACUUCAACGCAUUGACUUCUGAGCCCUGGCAGUCAAGGAGACCAGCGGAUACCGUUAGCCCUUCGAGUCUCUGGAAAACUAGGAGAGUCCCUUCAGAAUGUCUCUCGUGCUUCCCCCCAACCUCUGGACAGAGAUGCCUCGCAUCAGACCAUGGCCUCGGCAGCGGCUCUUCCAUGGGAUGGCAAUAGCAGAAGGGGGGAGGGACUCUUUGAUUCAUGUUUUCAGUAACUAGAACUUUCUUUGAUUAAUGUUACUAGUAAAUUAGGAUGUCUUUCAAGUAACAAGCAAGCGCUCUACGAGGAAUGUAGCGUCUGAUAAGAACUGGUUCAAAUUGCCAAGAACAAGGAUUCUCCUUUAUUGUACAUAGACUUGAACUUUAGUAACUUGCAAACACAUCACCUCCUGAAUACGAGGAUGAGCCUUAACAAGAUGAUAUGUAAGAAUAUUAAGGAAUGCUAUGAAAUGUUAUAGCAUGCUACCUACUAACGCUAUACACCGUUCACCGAUGCGUCAAAUGAUGUUAGCCAAUGAAAGAGCUCAUUACAAACUCAAUAUGUUUGAACUGAAUAUAGAGUGAUUCUCCCUCUUUUGAAGGGGUCCUCUUUCCUCUUUUGGGCAAGGUGCCCCUCCUUACUUGUUUAUAUAAUAAAGGUGUUUUUAAUUUA